UACGGAGGGUGCGAACGUUAAUCGGAAUUACUGGGCGUAAAGCGCGCGUAGGCGGUUCGGCAAGUGGGAUGUGAAAGCCCCGGGCUUAACCUGGGAAUUGCGUUCCAAACUACCGGGCUAGAGUAUGGUAGAGGGAGGUAUAAUUUCCUGUGCAGCGGUGAAAUGUGUAGAUAUAGGAAGGAAUACCGGUGGCGAAGGCGGCCUCCUGGACCAAUACUGACGCUGAGGUGCGAAAGCGUGGGGAGCAAACAGG
rnacentral:rRNA from 1 species